GCCUUCGUAGCUCAGCGGUAGAGCAUCGGACGCGUAAUCCGAAGAUCGUGAGUUCGGUUCCCACCGAAGGCA
rnacentral:tRNA from 1 species